UACGUAGGGUGCAAGCGUUAUUCGGAAUUACUGGGCGUAAAGCGUGCGCAGGCGGUUUUGUAAGUCAGAUGUGAAAUCCCCGGGCUUAACCUGGGAACUGCGUUUGAAACUACAAGGCUAGAGUGUGGCAGAGGGGGGUGGAAUUCCACGUGUAGCAGUGAAAUGCGUAGAUAUGCGGAGGAACACCGAUGGCGAAGGCAAUCCCCUGGGCCUGCACUGACGCUCAUGCACGAAAGCGUGGGGAGCAAACAGG
rnacentral:rRNA from 1 species